rnacentral:lncRNA from 1 species
AAAGAUAUGUAUUGAAGGAAGGAAAGUAAGAAAAAACGAGAUUCAAUUUUGUGGACUUGACCAAUUAGCAUUCACUUGGGAUCACGAAAAUCUACCUGUCUUUGCCUUGGCAAGCCCAAAUCAAUUGUAGCCACAGAUGAUGGUCUUGUAUCCUGGAUUAAUCUUUGGUUUUGAAGGACGCUACCUCUAAGAACCGUCAGAAAUAGAAAUAUGGAAUUAGUGAAGGUAAAAGAACAACAUUAAAUUUCAGAGAAACUUACAAGCAAUCAAUUGUGUAACACUACCUGAUGAUGGAAUACAACAGUAGAAAAAUCCCAGGUUAGAGCAUCUUCUUCAGGUAAAUAUUUUACCAUUAUAGGCAUUUUGCAAUUUGGUUAAACACGACCCUUCAAUUACAAUCAAUGUUUGUGAAAGAAAAUUAUUUCGCAAAAAAUUUAUCCUCCAAUAAAUUGGAAGGAAUUAUGACAUAAUGGUAGCUCCAAAUAGAG